GCCCCUGUAGCUCAGUGGACAGAGCACCUGGUUUCGGCCCAGGGUGCCGGGAGUUCAAAUCUCUCCAGGGGCA
rnacentral:tRNA from 1 species